rnacentral:tRNA from 1 species
CGGGGCGUUGCCCAGCGGCCAGGGCGCCUGCUUUGGGAGCAGGAUACCGGAGGUUCGAGUCCUCUCGCCCCGA